GUCAACACACAAGUAGAUAUUCAAAUACCAAUACACAUAUACAAAACAAUUGGAUGAGAUUAAUUUGAUGAAUUCGUUGGUUAUACAAAUAGAUGAGGAUAAUGAUGGUGGUGGUGAUUAAUUAACAGGAGAAAGGAAAAGAUAAACACAAAGAAGAAGAAGAAAAAAAUAAAGGCCUAAGUUAAUAUUCAAAACAUAUUAUCAACACACUCACUUACUCUCUCACAUACACAUACACUGAUGGAGGAUAAUCAAAAUUAAAUCUCAUUGUCUGAUGGUCAACACUGAAUAUAAUUAUAAGCCAACCUUUCUGGUGACCAGUAACUGAAUGAAUGAAUGAAAAAGUGACCACUAACAACAAACAGACCAAGUUGUCCUGGUUAGUUUGACCUGAGGCUGUUUAACUGGUUAACCUGAGGAUGGAUGAUGAUACUUGAUGUUAAGCCUGAUUUUUUUUUUCUUCAAGAUUACUACUGAUACUGAUUAACAUGAGAAUUUGAUCUGGUCAACCAGAAAUACCCGUUUUUAUGAUCAAAUUGAUGGGUCAACACCGUUACAAGUGUAGAUAUAUAUGUAUACAUAUCAUUAGAUGUUUAUAUGUAUGAUAUUAAUACGUUCAGGUUAUCUCGUAUUGAUGAUUGGUUUAUCUUGGAACUGGAUUAAAUCAAAUUAAUCGUUAUUGGUUUACCAUGACAAUAUUUGGAUAAAUUUAAAAUUUUUCAACUACUUCAACUAAACUAUUACCAUUUAAUUAAGUUAAGCCCAUAAUUACAAUUAACAAGAAAAAUUAACUCAGUUGAAUGGCGCAAAUUUAGUGUCUUGAUUGGCAAUAACAAUUUAAAAACAGAGUAAAGUUAAUAUCUGAACCUUCAGGAGGAGCCAGAAUAAAUUAUAAUUAAUCUAAAUCAUAUUGAGGAGAGAUGUCAAUGAUUAAUUAUCUACUAUUAUCAUGGUUACGUUAAUUUUGUUUGUUCCUGUUUUUUUUGAUGAUUAGUUUUCCAACCACCAAUACAAUAUAAUGUACCAAAGAUGAAACCAAUCCCAGAGAAUCAGAUGAUUAAUAGACAUGGUAACAUAUUCAUUGAUUGUUGGAAACAUUUGGAAAGACGAAUUGAUGGCGAACAUGAUAAAAUUGGUGAAACAAUUUUCCAUUGAUUUGAUUGUGAUGAUGGAAAGAAUUGAUUGUUUUCCUUUGCUAUGGAGAGACUAUUUCUCAUUUCUUGUUCGUGAUUCUUUCACCUUGAUUCUUUGAUUAAUAUGGAAGGUGAUAAAUAUUUCAUGAUGAACAUGAUUCUCGCAGAUGAUUAGAUUAAUUUCUUACCUUCACGAAGAG